rnacentral:lncRNA from 1 species
GAUUUUACAAAGAAUGGAGGACCAAAAGCUGCCCUUCAUCCCGGCAGAGUCGGGAGGACCUUCUACAAAAUGAGGGACUCACAUGGCCUCAAACUUGCUCUCUAGCCAAGGAUAACCUUUAACUUGCUGAACCUCUAGGAAGACCAGAGCAUAUACCCAAGCUUCCCACAAAAGCUCCUCAAAUUCCAAUCUCUUCUGGACCAGAGCUGCCCUUCAAGUGCCGGGAUUGCAGCAAGAAAAACAAAACCAGAAGGAAGGGGUGAGAGAAAAAAAAAAAAAAGCAAAUGGGGAACUGAAAAAUUAUUGAAGGGCUGGUGAGGUGACUCAGUGGAAAAAGGAGCUUGCUGCCAAGUCUGAAGACCAGAGUUCAAUUCCCAGGACCCACCUAGUAGAAGUUGUCUUUGGACUGCUCCAUGAAUAUUCAAACACAAACAUGUAUAUGUAUACAAAAUAAAUAAAUGUAAUUAAAAAAUAAA